AUUCAACACGGGUCUUGUAAAUUCUAGGGUUAACCGCCAUGGAUAUUGCAAAUCUAGGGCUUGUAAAGUUAAGAUUCACACCUGCAAAUUGAUUGUAGAGAUUUUGUGUAUGUAUAUAUCUAUGCAUGUGUGUUAAUUAGUGUAUAAGAGUUUUGAAUCAGGAAGAUGUCGAUAGAGAAAUGGAAGAUGAUGCAGGUUAAAGUAUGAUUUUGCAUGUGAAAGGGAGAAAGGAAGAUUGCAGGGGCGAUCUUGAAGUUUCAGUGCUCAUCGAAGUUCAGGUUUUGUAUGAGAGAGUAAAAGAGAGGGACAACGAGAAAGUCAAAUGGAAGAACGAUGGGGUUAUGUGUUGCUCUUUUGUUUUUUUUAAUUUGCAGGUGAAGAAGAAGAAGAAGAAGAAGAAGAAGAAGAAGAGAGAGAGAGAGAGAGAAGGGGUACCGUGGGUGUAGUCAUGGAGAGGGGUGCGGUGAUAUUUUGUUAUUUUUUAUUUUUAUAUAAUUUUUUAAAUACUAAACUCAAUAAAAAAUAUAAAAAAGAAAUAAUAGGG